rnacentral:rRNA from 1 species
ACCUACGGGGGCAGCAGUGGGGGAUAUUGCACAAUGGGGGGAACCCUGAUGCAGCGACGCCGCGUGGGCGAUGGAGUACUUCGGUAUGUAAAGCCCUAUCAGCAGGGAAGAAAAUGACGGUACCUGAGUAAGAAGCCCCGGCUAACUACGUGCCAGCAGCCGCGGUAAUACGUAGGGGGCAAGCGUUAUCCGGAUUUACUGGGUGUAAAGGGAGCGUAGACGGCAUGGCAAGUCUGAAGUGAAAGCCCGGGGCUCAACCGCGGGACUGCUUUGGAAACUGUUAAGCUGGAGUGCAGGAGAGGUAA